GACCGAGUGGUGUAGUGGUUACACUCCUGCUAAUUAUUGAUGACCUUUCUAAAUCUUCUGCAGGUGCCGUGGGUUCGAGUCCCAUCUCGGUUA